GUUGUAUCAGAAAAAAUUACCACCUAACUUUGCGAACACAACAUUUUGACAAGAAUCCUCUCUGCACCAUCAAAAAGACAUAAUUGGACUACAUUUUGCAAGUAGGAACAAAAAUUCCUGGCUCAUCCGUGAAAAAAAUUAUGCACGCAGGGAAACUAAUGGUACAUAUGUUGUUUCUGAACUGAAGACCUUAAAUCAAUAAUGGGCUAAGUGCCAAAAAGUCAAGUUUCAGUUAUUCAACAUUUAUUUCCCCAGGUUGCCCUGCACAUACCACGUAGCGCUCCCUACUGGGGCACCUUGCACACUGCUAUCAUGGUCGUAAUACUCAGCCCGCCGCACGGGUUGCUGUCCUUGGUACAUAGAACACUAUUCGAGGUCUAACUCGAUUUUCAUUUUUUUGGCACUUAGCCCGUUAUUGAUUUAAGGUCUUCAACUGAGCCAAAAAUUGUAUUUUAAAUUGAAAAUUGUAGCUAAUUGUCAUUUUAUAAAACAAAGUUCCUUUGAGGGUGCUUCAGUAGCAACUGGAAGAUUUUCUUUCCAGCUUCUCCUUACUUGAAAUAUCAAGAAAAGCAAUUUUGCCAUUCUCAUGAGAUGCUGACUAUCAGAUGGCAGUCACCUUAAUAGCCCUGCCACCGAAUGCCCCUAACAACUGCCCGUGCGUUGUGUUUUUUAACAAAAUGUUCUUUGGUUUUUUGUCCUAGUGAGGAGUCUUCAAGUAUUACAACAUGACCGAAUUCGCCUGUCAGUUGAACGAAAUGGAAGACGGUAUAGCACCAACAGACUCUAGAAAUAGGCCGGAUCAGAGGUUAAUGGAAGAAGGUCUCUGGGAUGCAGCCAAUAUCGAGAAAGUAGAUUGGAAGAGAAACAAAGAUCUGUUCGCAAACAAAGGGAAAAAUUGGCGGAAGAAGCUGCUGCAGAGGGUAAACCUGUUCCUGAGUAUGAGCCUGUGUGGUUCAGGAAGGUCAUGGACAAGUAUACUGGUGAUUACUGUUUAUGUACAAUGA
rnacentral:lncRNA from 1 species